CCUACGGGUGGCUGCAGUGGGGAAUAUUGGACAAUGGGCGAAAGCCUGAUCCAGCCAUGCCGCGUGUGUGAAGAAGGCCUUCGGGUUGUAAAGCACUUUCAGUGGGGAAGGAAGCCUUGGGGCUAAUACCCUCGAGGAAGGACAUCACCCACAGAAGAAGCACCGGCUAACUCCGUGCCAGCAGCCGCGGUAAUACGGAGGGUGCGAGCGUUAAUCGGAAUUACUGGGCGUAAAGCGCGCGUAGGCGGUCUGAUAAGCCGGUUGUGAAAGCCCCGGGCUCAACCUGGGAACGGCAUCCGGAACUGUCAGGCUAGAGUGCAGGAGAGGAAGGUAGAAUUCCCGGUGUAGCGGUGAAAUGCGUAGAGAUCGGGAGGAAUACCAGUGGCGAAGGCGGCCUUCUGGACUGACACUGACGCUGAGGUGCGAAAGCGUGGGUAGCAAACAGGAUUAGAUACCCGAGUAGUC
rnacentral:rRNA from 1 species